rnacentral:rRNA from 1 species
GGCACGGGGUGUUAGGGCACGACACCGGAGAGGGAGCCUGAGAAACGGCUACCACAUCCAAGGAUGGCAGCAGGCGCGCAAAUUACCCAAUCCCGACACGGGGAGGUAGUGACAAUAAAUAACAAUACGGGGUUCUUUCGGAUCUCGUAAUUGGAAUGAGUACAAUUUAAAUCUCUUAACGAGGAACAAUUGGAGGGCAAGUCUGGUGCCAGCAGCCGCGGUAAUUCCAGCUCCAAUAGCGUAUAUUAAAGUUGUUGCAGUUAAAAAGCUCGUAGUUGAAUUUCGGGGUUAGUAGAUUGGUCAUGCCAUCGGUAUGCACUGGUCUCACUGAUUCCUCCUUCCUGGUGAGCCGUAAUGCCAUUAAUUUGGUGUUGCGGGGAAUUUGGACUGUUACUUUGAAAAAAUUAGAGUGUUUAAAGCAAGCUAACGCUUGAAUACAUUAGCAUGGAAUAAUGAAAUAGGACGUUCGAUCCUAUUUUGUUGGUUUCUAGGAUUGACGUAAUGAUUAAUAGGGAUAGUUGGGGGCAUUAGUAUUCAAUUGUCAGAGGUGAAAUUCUUGGAUUUAUUGAAGACUAACUACUGCGAAAGCAUUUGCCAAGGAUGUUUUCAUUAAUCAAGAACGAAAGUUAGGGGAUCGAAGACGAUCAGAUACCGUCGUAGUCUUAACCAUAAGCUAUGCCGACUAGGGAUCGGAUGAUGUUAAUUUUUUAAUGACUCAWUCGGCGCCUUACGGGAACCAG